rnacentral:lncRNA from 1 species
AAAGUGAACAAUUAAAAAGUAAUCACAUGACUGAGGGUUUGUGGCCACAGUGUUGCUCAGCAGUAACGGGCUGCUGUCAAGUCUGACAACCAGAGUUCAAUCCCCUGGUCCCACAAAGAGGAAAGAGAGGAGCCAGCCCCCAAUAGCUGUCCUCUAUCUUCCACAUAUCUACUGUGACACACACACCCAUUAAUACAGAGGAAGACAAAUAAUACAUGUAAGCAAUAAAAAGAUUCAGGAUUGUGUCCUGCAGAUCUUCAGUGGGGCAGACAUUGUCCAUAGUUAGCCACAGUGAACUCCUGCUCAAAUAUAUUAAAUGGACAUGAAUAAGUGUCAUGUGGACAUAUUCACACUGUUACUCUAUAUUUAGUUAGGGGAGGUUCUAUUUGUUUUUUAAUUUAUUUGUUUGAUUUCUUUGACAAUGUAUUCCCUGAUUAGCCUGGAACUUCACUGGUAGACCAGGCUAGCCUAGGACUCCCAGACAUCCACAAGCCACCAUGUGGUCUUUGCCACCACACCUGCUGACAAUUCAUUACAUUUCCUCAGAGCUGAGUUCAUAAAGGAAAGACCAGGAGGGCAGGGCCCAACACACUUUCCAUCCCAGCACACAACCGACAAGGCAGAGGCAGGCAGAUCUCUGUGAGUCCGAGGACACAUGGUCUGCAUAGUGAGUUCUGAGAAGUCAGGGCCACAUGUAUAGCAGGACCCUGACUAUAGAGAAGACAGAGCUGUCCAUGUGUCUGACUACACUCGGCCUUAGGAGCAGAAGGUGCCCCACCAAGUCCUGUCACUGUGCACCCCACCAUUUGUGUCCUUUCCAGUUGAGCAGAGGCACUUGUAGAAGGACUGAGAUUGACCCCAGGACCUUGUCCAUGGGAGACGAGCACUGACACUGAGCUGCAUGCACAGCCCAAGCAGGCAAGACUGUAAGGGACGUCUCUGUCUAUGAGAGCAUCCGAGCUACACACAGUGAUUCACUGUUUACAUAACACAGUGGUUUGUGUUUGCCACACAGGCCAGGGGGCUUCUGAUGUUGUUCUGUCUGUUCCAGCCAAGGUCUGACUGGACAGCCCAGGCUGGCCACCCUGGGUAGCCUAGGCUGGCCUAUAAUUCCUCUGGAUCCUCCUGGCCCACUAUUUCAAGUGGCAUGAACCACCGUACCCCAGAUCCCAUAUUUUGAGAGAUCCUGAAUGUUUGCUUAAACAGACCUACAUGAUUAAACGUCUGUCUGGAGAGACAUUACUUUUGUUUUAAAAAGCUGCUGGAAGAGUCCAGAGAACAGAGUGAUCUGAAGAGGCACCUGAAGGAGGUCACAGCAGCCAUCAGCAAGGACCCACUGUACAUCCACAGACUGUGGUCAAAACCAACCCUCACAUCCACAGAGGCUGCCAUCCAGUCUAUGCUGAGUGCCUGAAGAACAAUGACCUUGGCAGAGCAGCACUGUGACAGAUCAAGGAGUGCAGAAGCCUGUGGCCCAAGGACAUCUUUGGACGCAGCUCUGAGGACGAGGUCCAGACACUCCUGAAUAUUUAUUUCCUCACCAAACCCUGGGACAGACCGGUAUUUACGCCCUAGUAGGGUCUAACCAUAGCCUGACUGAAAUCUGCACCAAGCUGAUGGAGCUGAACAUGGAGAUCCGAGACGUGAUCCGCGGGGAUCCGCAAAGUUUGGACAGAGUAUUCCCCUCUUGUUCCCUGUAGAACUUUUUCUAAAGAAGAUGACUCAACUUCCAAUGUGUACAAUAUUCUCCAAACCGAGAAAGCCUAGGACCUCCUGAGACAGACUCUACCCAUCCUGAUGUGUGGCUACUGUUCACCAAACAAAGGCACCCAAUACUGGAGACAGGACUUCUGUUGUGGUACCCAAACUGACCACACUGAAGGACUUCAUCCUUCUAGAGACACUUUAGAUUGGCAAAAGUACAAUGCUUUUAUUCAGACG